rnacentral:misc_RNA from 1 species
GUAGGUGAACCUGCGGAAGGAUCAUUACCGAGUUAGGGUCUUCUAGGCCCGACCUCCAACCCUUUGUUUACUAUACCAUGUUGCUUUGGUGGGCCCGCCUUUAGGGGCCGCUGGGGGACUUUCAUGCCCCUAGUCAGUGCCUGCCAGUAGCCUUCUUAAAUUCUUUUAUAAUUAUGUCGUCUGAGUAUAACUAUAAAUCGUUAAAACUUUCGACAACGGAUCUCUUGGUUCUGGCAUCGAUGAAGAACGC